rnacentral:tRNA from 1 species
CCCGGUGUAGCGCAGAGGAAGUCGCGCCGCUUGCACAGCGGAACACGCCGGUUCGAAUCCGGCCGCGGGGGC